GUAUCACUCGUUCUUGCCAAAGGUAUCUUCGGUUCAUCUUUGCCGUCGUGGUUCACGUAAGCCACUAUGGGCUACCCUUUGACCCAUGGAAAGCAAGGUUCGCUUGGCGAAAAAUAAUGGUUCCCUUUUUUGUCAGAAAGUUCUUCUAACUUUCUUUUCUUUUGGUAGAAAGUUCUUCUAACUUUCUUCUCUUUUAGUAGAAAGUUCUUCUAACUUUCUUUUUUGCCCCUUUGCUUUUUUGCUUCGUCAUAGAUUAUUUGAGUGCAAUCUUAGAAUGAGAGGUACCGUGCGGCGUUUAGAAUAAGUUAAGCGUAUGCGUGGGAUCCUAUGCAAUUAGUAUUAAGUUAAUGUAUGUGUGUGUGUGUAAUACAAGUUCUUUGCUGGAUUGUGGUAAAGUACUUGUAUAUGCGAGCCUAUGAGUUAAGUAGAGUCAGAACUCAUUUAUCCUUCCGAUAAAUGAGCGAUUUGCAAAUGGAGGGUGGUAGGGAUUUGGAGUUAGGGUGGGUCACAAUCGUAGUCACCUCCACGUGGUGUGACCUGGUAAUCGAUAUCAUUUUCGAUAUGUUGUCCAAAAGACAAUAUGUAGAAAAUGGUAUCGAGCUAAGUGCUACGAUUUAUGUUUAAGUUAGAAUGAAAUUGUAAUUGUAUUAUAAUUAUAAGUUAUCAUUUUUACAAGUUUCAGCUUUCGACUUUUACUUUUUCAUCGCCGGCAAGGAGAACAAAGUACAUGAAUGCACAUUAACAUUUCAAUUGUCAUGAUACAUGAAAUUGAAACUCGAAAUAAAUGACAGUUUAACCACAAAAUUCUUUUUCUCUUUUAGGAAAUAAAAUUCUGAUGUAAGGAAAGUUAUCAAAUCGAACAUGUCGUAAGUAAUACUGUCACUAAUUAUUUUUAUCUAUUUUAAAAUAAUGCAUUAUUUCACUUAAUUUAGUGCCCAAGCAAAUGGUUCAUGUAAUCAGCCAAUGUGCACAUCUCCAUGCAAUAUUAUUCCUGUGAAUAUUGUAGAGGGACCACCUGAUAAUUUUUGUACAGUAUGUUUAUUCUGCAAUACAUCCGUUUACUCCUUAUAGUCCACCUUAUACGCCUUGUUCUCCUCGAAGUUAUUCAUACUGGUAUAGUAAAUACCAACCAUAUACAACAUUACGGAAUGUUUGCAGUAUUACUUGUCCCCCUUACAGUAAGUUACAAAUUCAGAUCAAUGAUAUCAAAGAAUAUAACAUAAUUCAACAUUGUAACUGCCUUUUAUUUUCAGCAUCCAGCGUUUACAGAUGUUAAAUCAAAGUUGCCAGACUGUAAAAUGUGUUGUGACUGCAUAAAUAAUCAAAUAUUCUUUUGUAAUGACUAAAUAAAAAAUUAUUGUUGCAUAAAUUGCACUAUUUUAUUUGUACAAGAUACCAAUUUAUGUACAAA